UAAGUAAUUUCUAUGAUUGAAUAUAGGUCUUAUUUAAGAGUGUUUUGAGGCCUUUGGAGGUUGUUUCGGCUGGACUUUCAGAGGGAUUCAAGUGCUAUUAAAGUUUAGUUGGGUAACAGAACCUUUGGAUUGCUUCGUAAGGUGCAAGGUAGAGCGUGGGAGUUUUAGGCGAAGUCAAUAAUACUGGAAGUCUUAAAAGAUUAUUAGUUAUAUAUAUAUAUUUUUUUUUGUUAUUCCGCUUUAGAUUUCACUGUAUUUUGGAGAUUAUUCUAAAUUUGUGGAGUUUGGAUUUUGUAAGAGGUUUUAUUUAAGAGUAUUGUUUCUUUGGA